CCCCCGGGUGGCAGGAGCAGCUCCUUCCCAGACACUUGCCUUCAUCCUCCUGUCUCUCUGACGGCCGCAGAUGAAGGACAAACAGGCUUUAUGGAAGCGACCACAGGUGACAGCCCUCCUCCUACCACCGUCCGCCAACACCGGCACGUCCUCCCUGCUUCGACAUUUACGUUUUUCUCUCUGGGCUGGCUUCGCUAUCCCUCCCAGGGACCAGUCAUCCAUUUCCGCCGCCACCUCUCCUCCCCGCAGUUGCAGAUCGGCUUCUCCAGAAGACAAGCCUGGCCUCCCCUCUCAGACAUGGCCUCGGUGGCGUAGGGAAGUCCUGGUCGGGGAGCCCCCACAGAGCUGGUCCUGGGGUGCCAGGCUCCUCCAAGCUUAACAGCCUUACGGUCGGGAAGAGGAGGGCGUCCUUCCUCCCAGCGCCUAGUGCGGAAGACGCUGGUGGGCGUGGCCUGGGUCACGUGUCCAGGCGGAGGGGGCGCGGUCACGUGGCCCGAAAGAGGGUCUGUCCACAGGCAAAACUACACGUCCCGAGUCAGAGGACGACCAGUCCUCCAAAAGAAGAGGGGCGAUAUUCUGAAUGAACAAAACAAUAUUCACUCUAGGCUCGCUCAAGAAAAGCUAGAAAAUAAAAGGAAAAAAAGCACACUGUUUUCUUAUACAGCUUUAGCUAUUUUUAACACUUUUCCUUCUACCCUUCAAUUUUUCUCUGUGAAUGUAUCUAAAUGUUUACACAUUUCCAUAUGUAUGUGUGCACAUGUAUGAGGGUUAUACUGGAUAUUCUGUUUUCAAACCUGAUUCUUUUAUUUGAUGUACCUUGAAAAUCUUUUCAUGCCAAUAUUUAUAGGGCAUUGCUCUU